AUCAUCUACUCAAAUGGCCAUAAAGAAAACUAAUUAGGGUUUGAACAAUAGAGAGAAUACAAAGAAGAAGAAGAAUAAAGAAAAGGUAAUUACACUUCUCUUUCUUCCUUCCCUUUUUUUCUUUUCUUCAUCGUACAGGGUUAAAAACCCUACCCUCACGCGUGUACGGUUCUAAAGCCACCAACGUGGCUGUCCUCCUAUCCCUCCAAGCAUUCUUUAACAGUUCGUGCACUGAGGCCCAAAACUUUAAUUAGGCCCAACAAUAGGCAAGAUCAGUUGGCUAGGUGAUCAUUAGGCCACUUGAUCAGGCAAGAUACUAGUACCUUAUGUGCGAUACAAGGAAAGGGUACACAGGUACGUUCUGUCUAGGCGUUAAACCUUCUCAACUUACAACUCCUUCUUGGCGAAAUUGUAACAACACUUUUGCAUUUCGAGGAGAUUUUUUGAAGUCAUUAAAGUUGUCCGUCAAACAUUUCUUGCAUCCUACCAUCUUGUUUGAAGGCACUUUCCGUUUUGCAAUCAAGAACAAUUAUACAAAGAAAAAAACGGAGAAGGUGCUCUCGGCAGAAGAAAAAACCACACGCACAGUGAUGAGGAAAUUACAAGAUCUAUGAAGAUUAUGAAGAAAUAUAGAGAAGAGAAGAUGAAACACAAGAUGAUUAAUUACGUGGUUCGGUCAAAGACCUACGUCCACAGGAAGAUUUGAGGAAAUUUUAUUACUUACUUGGAGAAUAUUACAAUUCUUUCUCACAUGAGUUCUUACUUCCAUAUUUUACACACUUCUGUCUUUUCACAUUUUGUUUUUACUCACUGUUAGAGUUGAUUGUACACCAAUCAUCUCAACAUAAUUUUUCAACUGAUUUUAGUUCACUAAGUAUUUGUUGAAAAACCUAAUGUCGAAUAGGCUUUGGUUUUUUUUGAACUGCACACACAAUUCUUUACUAGUUUUCAUCAAAGAUGCAUUGAAUAGUCUUGUUCAUGUUGAUAUUAUUAAUGACUUAGACCGUGGGUGCUGAAAAUCUAAUAGAGUUCUUGAACUUUGUUGUUUGUUUGUUCAAUCAACCAUGAUCUUAUCUUCCCUUGUAUUAUUGUUGGCUAUUGUGAUUAGGUGGUUGAUAUUGGAAUGCACUCAUUAUGUAAUCUUUUGGUUUGUAACUUCUUCUCGAGUUCUAUGCAUGGUAAAAUUUUAAAAUAAAGCAAAUUUUAUUUGAUUUUAUAUUGUACACCUAUUGACUUUUUUCAGAAAGCAGUGCAGUUGAAAAGACUUGAUGUCAUUCCCAAGUAAUGGUUCAUUCAGAUGAUGAUGAGGUUGCUACACCCAUUCAAAGAGGGGAAACUAGUAGCCAGAAAAAGAAACGUGGCCCUACGGGAAUGAAAGAUAUAACACGUUUUAGUAGUGAGGGACGAGAAUGGUUA